UGGCCCAAGGCUCUCUGACUGACUCCUUCCCAGAUCUUCUCGGCUUAGCGGCUGAAGACUGACACUGCUCAAUCACCUUGGAAGCCCCCUAGACCAUCACGGACGCCGAGCUUCAGGUAACUCUCACAGUGGAAAGUAAGCCCAUCCCCUUCUUAAUCAAUACAGAGGCUCCCCACUCCACAUUACCUUCUUUUCAAGGGCCUGUUUCCCUUGCCUCCAUAACUGUUGUAGGUAUUGACGACCAGGCUUCUAAACCUCUUAAAACUCCCCAACUCUGGUGCCAACUUAGACAAUACUCUUUUAAGCACUCCAUGCCCUGCUCUUGUUUACACUGCCGGUUUACACUGUUUUUCCAAGCCAUCACAGCUGAUAUCUCCUGGUGUUAUCCCCAAACUGCCACUCUUAACUCUUGAAAUAAAUAAAUAAUCUUUGCUGGCAGGACUAUGCCGAAUCUCCUUAGGCACUCUCUAAUCAGAUAUCCUGAGUCGUCCCAAUUCUUAGACCUUUUAUACCUGUUUUUCUCCUUCUGUUAUUCCAUUUAGUUUCCCAAUUCAUCCAAAACCGUAUCCAGGCCAUCACCAAUCAUUCUAUAUGACAAAUGUUUCUUAUAACAUCCCCACAAUAUCACCCCUUACCACAAUACCUCCCUUCACCUUAAUCUCUCCCACUCUAGGUUCCCACGCCGCCCCUAAUCCCGCUUGAAGCAGCCCUGAGAAACAUCGCCCAUUCUCUCUCCAUACCACCCCCCCAAAAAUUUUUGCCGCCCCAACACUUCAAUGCUAUUUUGUUUUAUUUUUCUUAUUAAUAUAAGAAGGCAGGAAUGUCAGGCCUCUGAGCCCAAGCCAAGCCAUCGCAUCCCCUGUGACUUGCACGUAUACGUCCAGAUGGCCUGAAGUAAUUGAAGAAUCACAAAAGAAGUGAAUAUGCCCUGCCCCACCUUAACUGAUGACAUUCCACCACAAAAGAAGUGUACCUUGUGAAAGUCCUUUUCCUGGCUCAUCCUGGCUCAAAAAGCACCCCCACUGAGCACCUUGCGACCGCCACUCCUGCCCGCCAGAGAACAAACCCCCAUUGACUAUAAUUUUCCUUUACCUACCCAAAUCCUAUAAAAUGGCCCCACCCUUAUCUCCCUUCGCUGACUCUCUUUUCGGACUCAGCCUGCCUGCACCCAGGUGAUUAACAGCUUUAUUGCUCACACAAAGCCUGUUUGGUGGUCUCUUCACACGGACGCGCAUUAAAAAAACAUCCUUACAUAAUAUGUUAAAGGAUGCUAUACAAUAUGGGGAAAAUGAUAUAAGUAUAUGACCCAAGAGGAUGAAAAAAUUCACUUAUUGGCAGAAAGGACAACAUCAUUUGUAUGUAGAAAAUCACCUCUCAAAAUAGUAAGUUGCUGAAAGGGGAGUGGUUGCGCUAGAAUCAGCACCAAUGACUCUUUUAUCCUAUUUCUCAGUUUUAGGGGAAAAGACUCUACAAAACUACAGGUGUUUUGCUGACAGUAGAAAAAAACCUUCCCUUGUUAACAUGUUAGUCAAGCUUUGGAAAAGACAUCACAUGUCAAAUCCUAUCACAGGAUGCUUUAUAGAGAUUAUCUAUUUUAAAUUUUAUUGGAAUUUCGAUGACAUCAAGUUGUUAUUGCUUGGACCACAGUGGUGGUGGUUAUCUGAAGAUUUCUGCAAAAGUGCCAUGCCUCCUCAAAUAAGCUCAAAGUUCAGAGGGGAAAAAAUGCAAUUUCAUUUAAAAGCUUGCCAUCAAAAAAAUUCUAAAACUAAAGUAGAAUAGUUUUGGUUUACUCUAGUCUUAUGUGCAAGUGUGAAUAUUGAGUUUUACAAGUUUUUCUUGUGUGUCAUUAUCCUCUAUUAAGUUAAGGCAUUUUAAUGGACUAAACAUGGUAAUUUCUUACUUAAUUGUUUAGUGAAGAGAGGCAUAAUGUUUCAAUUAGGAAAGAAUGAUCCCCCACAUGAGUGAAUCUGCCAUCUGUGUAUUCUCAUCUGUUAAAACUGUUAGUCAAAUCAACAAAAGUCCAAGUGCAAAGUCCCUAAACCAGUUGAAAUGGGCACACACUUGCUCUAGGGAAGGGGAAAUUUUAUUUUAAUUGAUUUUGUUCCAGCAGCAAUCCCUCUUCCUUUCCUGGGAAUACAUUUUGGCUGGGAUUUUGUGGCAUCAAUACAAAUCACUUCAAAGCAGCUAUUGCUCAUUUAUCCUCUACCUAGCGGCUCUGCUGACCCACCACUUGGAUAUCCAUUUUCCUGAGGUGGGGCAAAGAUGAGGCAUGACAAGACCACAGGAAUGGUGUAGGAAAAAACUACAGAGAAAUACUCAUACAGAAGACAGCACAAAGCUGCCUGCAGUACUGAUCGUCACAUGUUUAGAACUGGGAAAUGGUGGUCAGUUGUUAACAGAAAAUGCAUUUUCUUUGGUACCAAAAUACCAAUGGCUCAUCAAUCUUAAUACUUUUAUAAUAACAUUUUUUAAGGUUAAAUUCUUUCAAAACAUGUCACUCCAAAUUUCUGAUGAGGUCUAGUUACUUUUAAAUAAUUAGGCAACAUGAAUAGAGGAGAAGACUGAGGCAAUUAUUGGAUUCAUUGAGGAAUGCAUAAAACAUAAAAAUGACUUAAAUUUGCUAUUUAUGUAAUUUCGUGGUCUCAAAACCACACUUUAAUUGAAUCGAGUUUAGUAAGAGAUAAGACCACAGCAGUGUGGCAUGAUGUUUAAGAACACAGGCCUUAGGGUAGAUUGUUAGAGUCAAAUUCGAGCUCUGACUGUGUGACUUUGAGCCAGUUAUUUAACCUCUCUGUGCCUUGGUUUCUUCAUCUGCAAAAUGAGAGUAGUAAAUAGAAGCUUCCUCAUAGUGUAGUUGGAAGGGUUAAAUAUGCUGAAACCGUAAAUGGAAAGUACUUAGUACACACAGAUCCCACAGCUUUUUUUGUUCACUUUCAGACAUUAACAGUCUUAUUUUCAGACAUUAUUUUAAAAAUCCUUUUUAAAUUGAAACUUUCAUUUCUCAUUGAACUUAAAUCUCUUUGUCCCUAUACCAGCUCCAGCAUGACCUAUGCUUGGAUCCUGUAGUAGGGAAGAGGGAAGCGGUUAAUUCUUUAUCAUGUCUUUGCAGUAUUUUUUUACUCUACCUCCCUCACCCCUUUCUCUGUCUUUGGUUCCUGCAGGGGAGAGGGAAAAUCAUUUGGGGACAGCCAACUUCUUCCUUGAGCGGUGCAGUUAUAAUCAUGCAUUGUGCCCUCUGUGAGUGCUUCUUUCUCCUUUGAAAUUCUUCAGUGGGUUCUUCAGCAUCGCCCACUCUGUUGCUGGAGACCACCCAUUGUGCCCUUGGAUGGCGUGCCCAAUAUCCUUGGCCAGCUGGCUGCAUUCCCCACUCAGCUACUGAUUGUUGAUUGUUGUGCUUCACGAACUUCCCGCUGAGCGUCCUCUCAUCCUGGGGUGGAGAGCAGGCCCAUCACGGGGCUCCCACCUGCCUGCCUGCCAUACUGUCCAUGCCAGUGCCUGAGAAACACCGCCUCUGCUCCACUUUCAGUGGGAACCAGCGUUUUGCACCCCCCUCCAUAGCCUUUUCUCUUCACUCUACCACCUGAAGCAAUUCCCACUGGGCCGCUUCUUCACCUUUAAGUUUUCCAGCAGGAGAAGACAAGGAGAUGGAGAGACUGUCAACCUAGAACCAGUAAUGACCAGUUCCAACUUAAUUACAGAAAGGGAGAAAAGAUCAAUCAUUUAAGUUGCUUCAUCGUCUAAAUAAAAGUGUUUUGGCUGUUGAAACAUGAACCUAGACUCCUGCCUCAACAUAUUUAAAAUGAGAACAAAGUGGCAGUAUCAUGGUGGUGGGCGUUUAGAUGCUUACAUUGUUUUCAUCUACAAAACAGGCUUUCCUUUCACACCCUAGCUCUUUGCUGGGCUGGUGGAGCUGAUUGACAGAUAUAGCCCGCUCCAAAGGAACAGCCCUUUCUCAAGGAAUGAAUGAUUUGCUCUAAGUAUUUAAAUCCUCUGCUCAAAAUCAAACAUAAAUUGAAGUAUCAAAAUAAACAAAAAUAUGGUUUGUGGUUUUGAAAGCAUUUCUUUGUGAUUUUUGCUAAAAAGAGAAAUGCCAAAAAAAUUUUUUUAAAGAUUUUGAGACAAUUAUCUGGCGCAGUGGCUCACGCCUGUAAUCCCAGCACUUUGGGAGGCUGAGGCAGGCAGAUCAUGAGGUCAGGAGAUCAAGACCAUCCUGGCCAACAUGUUGAAACCCCAUCUCUACUAAAAAUAUAAAAAUUAGCUGGGCAUGAUGGGCGCCUGUAAUCCCAGCUACUCAGGAGGCAGAGGCAAGAUAAUCACUUGAAUCCAGGAGGUGGGGGUUGCAAUGAGCCAAGAUCAUGCCACUGCACUCCAA
rnacentral:lncRNA from 1 species